rnacentral:rRNA from 1 species
UACAGAGGGGGCAAGCGUUGUUCGGAAUUACUGGGCGUAAAGGGCGCGUAGGCGGCCUGUUAAGUCGAACGUGAAAUCCCUGGGCUCAACCCAGGAACUGCGUCCGAUACUGGCAGGCUUGAAUCCGGGAGAGGGAUGUGGAAUUCCAGGUGUAGCGGUGAAAUUCGUAGAUAUUCGGAAGAACACCAGUGGCGAAGGCGACAUACUGGUCCGUUACUGACGCUGAGGCUCGAAAGCGUGGGGAGCAAACGGG